ensembl:misc_RNA 7SK 7SK RNA
GGAUGUGAGGGCAAUCUGGCUGCAACAUCUGUCACUCCAUUGAUCAUCAGGGUUGAUUUGGUUGGUCUGGCUGGCUAGGCAGGUGUUCCCCUCCUCCCUCACUGAUCCAUGUAUCCAUGUGUGUCCCUCCUGAAGCUGUGCACUUGGUCGAAGAGGAUGAACUUCUCCCAGAGGAGAGGACCGGUCUACAGUCAAGGGUGUAUGUGUAGCUGCACUCCUCGGCUAGAACCUCCAAACAAGCUCUUAAGAAGAUGCUGCAUGAAUUUACCAGCACCGAGAAAAUCCAGUGAAGCACAGAUGACCAUGUCAGGGAUUUAAUU